rnacentral:rRNA from 1 species
CCUACGGGAGGCAGCAGUGAGGAAUAUUGGUCAAUGGACGAGAGUCUGAACCAGCCAAGUAGCGUGAAGGAUGACUGCCCUAAGGGUUGUAAACUUCUUUUAUAAAGGAAUAAAACGAGGCACGUGUGCCUUUUUGCAUGUACUUUAUGAAUAAGGAUCGGCUAACUCCGUGCCAGCAGCCGCGGUAAUACGGAGGAUCCGAGCGUUAUCCGGAUUUAUUGGGUUUAAAGGGAGCGUAGAUGGGUUGUUAAGUCAGUUGUGAAAGUUUGCGGCUCAACCGUAAAAUUGCAAUUGAUACUGGCAGUCGUGAGUACAGUUGAGGUAGGCGGAAUGCGUGGUGUAGCGGUGAAAUGCUUAGAUAUCACGAAGAACCCCGAUUGCGAAGGCAGCUUACUAAACUGUGACUGACAUUGAUGCUCGAAAGUGUGGGUAUCAAACAGGAUUAGAUACCCGUGUAGUC